GAUGAACGCUGGCGGCGUGCCUAAUACAUGCAAGUCGAGCGAACAGAUGAGGAGCUUGCUCCUCUGACGUUAGCGGCGCACGGGUGAGUAACACGUGGAUAACCUACCUAUAAGACUGGGAUAACUUCGGGAAACCGGAGCUAAUACCGGAUAAUAUAUUGAACCGCAUGGUUCAAUAGUGAAAGACGGUUUUGCUGUCACUUAUAGAUGGAUCCGCGCCGCAUUAGCUAGUUGGUAAGGUAACGGCUUACCAAGGCAACGAUGCGUAGCCGACCUGAGAGGGUGAUCGGCCACACUGGAACUGAGACACGGUCCAGACUCCUACGGGAGGCAGCAGUAGGGAAUCUUCCGCAAUGGGCGAAAGCCUGACGGAGCAACGCCGCGUGAGUGAUGAAGGUCUUCGGAUCGUAAAACUCUGUUAUUAGGGAAGAACAAAUGUGUAAGUAACUAUGCACGUCUUGACGGUACCUAAUCAGAAAGCCACGGCUAACUACGUG
rnacentral:rRNA from 1 species